rnacentral:ncRNA from 1 species
UCUCUGGUUGAUCCUGCCAGUAGUCAUAUGCUUGUCUCAAAGCUUAAGCCAUGCAGUGUCAGUACAUACUAAAUUAAAGUGAAACCGCAAAGGGCUCAGUAAACCAGUUUUAAUUUACUAGAGUUU